rnacentral:rRNA from 1 species
GACGGAGGAUGCAAGCGUUAUCCGGAAUGAUUGGGCGUAAAGCGUCCGCAGGUGGCAGUUCAAGUCUGCUGUCAAAGACCGGGGCUUAACUUCGGAAAGGCAGUGGAAACUGAACAGCUAGAGUAUGGUAGGGGCAGAGGGAAUUCCUGGUGUAGCGGUGGAAUGCGCAGAUAUCAGGAGGAACACCGGUGGCGAAGGCGGGUCUCUGGGACGGUACUGACGCUGAGACGCGAAAGCGUGGGGAGCGAACAGG